rnacentral:tRNA from 7 species
GGUCCCGUAGCUCAAUGGCAGAGCAAGCGCCUCUUAAGCGUUUGGUUGAGGGUUCGAGUCCCCCCGGGAUCACCA